rnacentral:rRNA from 1 species
GGUCUCCGUAGGUGAACCUGCGGAGGGAUCAUUACACAAAUAUGAAGGCGGGCUGGAACCUCUCGGGGUUACAGCCUUGCUGAAUUAUUCACCCUUGUCUUUUGCGUACUUCUUGUUUCCUUGGUGGGUUCGCCCACCACUAGGACAAACAUAAACCUUUUGUAAUUGCAAUCAGCGUCAGUAACAAAUUAAUAAUUACAACUUUCAACAACGGAUCUCUUGGUUCUGGCAUCGAUGAAGAACGCAGCGAAAUGCGAUAAGUAGUGUGAAUUGCAGAAUUCAGUGAAUCAUCGGAUCUUUGAACGCACAUUGCGCCCUUUGGUAUUCCAAAGGGCAUGCCUGUUCGAGCGUCAUUUGUACCCUCAAGCUUUGCUUGGUGUUGGGCGUCUUGUCUCUAGCUUUGCUGGAGACUCGCCUUAAAGUAAUUGGCAGCCGGCCUACUGGUUUCGGAGCGCAGCACAAGUCGCACUCUCUAUCAGCAAAGGUCUAGCAUCCAUUAAGCCUUUUUUUCAACUUUUGACCUCGGAUCAGGUAGGGAUACCCGCUGAACUUA